rnacentral:rRNA from 1 species
UGAGCCAAGUUUAGGGUUUUCUCAAAACCCAAGCAGUAUUGAACUGAAGAGUUUGAUCAUGGCUCAGAUUGAACGCUGGCGGCAGGCCUAACACAUGCAAGUCGAGCGGAUGAAGGGGGCUUGCUCCUGGAUUCAGCGGCGGACG